rnacentral:lncRNA from 1 species
GGCAAGAAUAAAUACCCUGCAUUUUUAUAGUGCUUUAUACUUCAUGAGAAAAAACCAAACCUACAUUUAAUUCCCAAUAUAAUAGGCUCUUCCAGCAAUCUUUUGAGGGUAACCGAAGCAAAUCAUCAGUGCCUGUCCUUGAACUUGGUGAAACUGUCUCAGCCUCAUGACCUGUGGUACUGGACAGAGACCACAAUACCUUGUCUACCCGGAGUGCCUGGAGCACUGUCUGCAGUUAGCUCCUGGAGGCUUGUCCUCAGUAGGCUUAGGGCAUGAGGAGCCCUGGAAAGCCCAGGAACCCAUGGAGGGCCCUGGAGAAACAGCACCUGUGGCUGAGGGGUUCACAGGCCCGACAGGAUCCACUCGGUAACUCCACAAUCACAGCUGCUGGAGGAAUUCACCUCCAUGUCAUCACGAUCCCCCAGAAGCAUUUGCUUCCCAUUCUUGCCUUGAAAGAUGUGAAUCGUAAACACCGGUUUCUGUAGGCACCACUGAUUUCCUGAUUUAGUUUUGAUCAACCUCUGGAGGAGGAAAUGCAUUCAGCAUCAUAUUAUACAUGGAAAAAGAAGAAAUCUGGAUAUAGACACAGACGUACACACAUGCACACAUAUGGAGAAAACUGUGUGAAGAUGAUGGCAGAGCCAGAAGGAUGCCUCUACAAGACAACGGACACCAGAGAUUGCCAGCAACCACCAGAAGCUGGGGGGGCCAGGAGCUGGUGCUCCCUCCAAGCCUCAGGAGGGACCAGCCCUGCCCACACCUUGAUGCUGGACCUCCAGCUGAGAGAGUACAUUCCUGUAGGAAGAACAAGGACUUGGAAGUCAAAUAAGCUUAGAGCAAUUCUGCCUAACUGUGGGACUUUGAGUAAAAUUUCUUGGCUUCUUGGGACCUCAGUUUGUAAAUUGGGCGUGUCAUCCUUCCCUCAUAGGUCAUCAAGAGGAAAUGCACUGUCCUGCACAAGCAUGGCGCCCAAGGCUUGGCACUUGGGGGGCCACUCAUGGGAGCCCACUUUCGUGACCCCUCUUCCUACUGGGAAGAGUAGGGGAACCAUGGGAGGCAGGUCCUGCUAUCUGUUGAGCAGCACCUUCCAACCCUGA